GAUGAACGCUAGCUACAGGCUUAACACAUGCAAGUCGAGGGGUAACGAGAGGGAAGCUUGCUUUCCUUGUCGACGACCGGCGCACGGGUGAGUAACGCGUAUCCAACCUGCCCCCAACUAGGGAAUAACCUUGCGAAAGUAAGACUAAUACCCUAUAAUUUCCUCAGAUGGCAUCUGACGAGGAAUAAAGAUUUAUCGGUUGUGGAUGGGGAUGCGUCUGAUUAGCUUGUUGGCGGGGUAACGGCCCACCAAGGCAACGAUCAGUAGGGGUUCUGAGAGGAAGGUCCCCCACAUUGGAACUGAGACACGGUCCAAACUCCUACGGGAGGCAGCAGUGAGGAAUAUUGGUCAAUGGGCGGAAGCCUGAACCAGCCAAGUAGCGUGCAGGAUGACGGCCCUAUGGGUUGUAAACUGCUUUUAUACAGGAAUAAAGUUAGCCACGUGUGGUUAUUUGUAGGUACUGCAUGAAUAAGGACCGGCUAAUUCCGUGCCAGCCGCCGCCGUAA
rnacentral:rRNA from 1 species